AUGUGGUUAGAAGAUGAAAGAUAUGAUGAUUCAGAACAAAAUAGUGAUUUCUACAACUCACUAGAUGAUGUGGGACUUCAUAAUUUAGACAAUGCAAUGGAAGCCAUGGAAGUAGAAAAUAGUGGUAAAAGGAGAAGAGGAUAUGGAGAAUCGUCUAUAAAAAGAGAAGGAGAAAGAGAAAGACCUACCAGAUCAGCUGGACAAUGGCCUCCAGAAAAAGAUGACUAUCAACCUACAUAUAUCCCAGGGCAAUAUAGAUAUAUGGGUACUAAAAGAAGAGAUUUUGAAAAAACAGUGCAAUUUCAGAAUUAUAAGAAUGAUGGCGCUAUAUUAAACCUAGCAGCUCAUGAUCCAAUAGAUUGGCCAAAUAUAAUCAGCAUAUUGAAAGGUUUAAUAGUGCAAAAAUAUAUACAAAAUCAGUAUAAAUAUAGGCACUAA
rnacentral:rRNA from 1 species